GAAGCAGCACAGGUUGCCAUAAUGGCUCUAGAGAAAGUGUCAUUUGAGAGACUGUUACGUAGGCUAGUAAUGACCCUUCUGAAGAGUGAAGCCACCUAGUUCUACCUUAGGUGUAGUAGAGUUGAUGAAGGGGAGGAUGACCUGGGAGCGUCAGCCUAGGGCUUGCCUGCUUCUUCCUGGUGUCUCGUUUAGCCAGGUGGUAGUUCUUACCUGAAUUAGAGGUAUCGGCCAUUUCCCAGACCCUCUCGGUGGAGCCCUGAGCCAUUCUGCAAACUUUGCGCUAUUGAGAAUCCCUGCUCUAAAUGUCCUCCUUCCUCCUGGAAAUAAAAAACUGCCCAGCGGUAGAGCACUUGCCUAGCAAGCGCAAGGCCCUGGGUUCGGUCCCCAGCUCUGGAAAAAAAAAAAAG
rnacentral:lncRNA from 1 species